UGCGCAGGCGGAAUGAUAAGUCAGUGGUGAAAUCUCUCGGCUCAACCGGGAAACUGCCAUUGAUACUGCCAUUCUUGAGUACAGUUGAAGUGGGCGGAAUGUGUCAUGUAGCGGUGAAAUGCUUAGAUAUGACACAGAACACCGAUAGCGAAGGCAGCUCACUAAGCUGUAACUGACGCUCAUGCACGAAAGCGUGGGGAUCAAACAGGAUUAGAUACCCUGGUAGUCC
rnacentral:rRNA from 1 species